rnacentral:rRNA from 1 species
GUAAGGAAUAUUGGACAAUGGACGCAAGUCCGAUCCAGCCAUGCCGCGUGAAGGAUUAAGGUCCUCUGGAUUGUAGACUUCUUUUAUAAGGGACGAAAAAAGGCUUUUCUAAGUCGUCUGACGGUACCUUAUGAAUAAGCACCGGCUAACUCCGUGCCAGCAGCCGCGGUAAUACGGAGGGUGCAAGCGUUAUCCGGAUUCACUGGGUUUAAAGGGUGCGUAGGCGGGCAGGUAAGUCAGUGGUGAAAUCCUAGAGCUUAACUCUAGAACUGCCAUUGAUACUAUCUGUCUUGAAUAUUGUGGAGGUAAGCGGAAUAUGUCAUGUAGCGGUGAAAUGCUUAGAUAUGACAUAGAACACCUAUUGCGAAGGCAGCUUACUACGCAUAUAUUGACGCUGAGGCACGAAAGCGUGGGGAUCAAACAGGAUUAGAAACCCGGGUAGUCC